rnacentral:tRNA from 1 species
GGCGCAGUAGCCAAGCGGUAAGGCGUGGGUCUGCAACACCCUGAUCACCAGUUCGAAUCUGGUCUGUGCCU